UGGUGUCUCCACCUGGUCAUUAACCAGCUCCACAGGAUUUUGAAUUUAAUACUGUCUGCAUCUGAAUGAAUCAUGGGAUGACACCUCUGAAACUUGAUUCAAGUGUCCUGUUGCUGGUCAGC